rnacentral:lncRNA from 1 species
AACCAGCCCGGCCUGCUUUUCCUCCCCGGUAGCCCCUCCGCGGGCGGGAGCGCGGCCCGCAGCCUGGGCCAGCUUGUCACUGGGCGCCCGGGCCCCGGCGUUGUCCUGCCCCGCCGCCCAGCAGCGCUUUCCCCGUGAAGAAGCUCCUCUAGGAAAGGGCAGGAAGGUGUGAGGGGAAAAGUGGCCAAGCCGGUGUCAUGGAGGCACUGCUGGCCUUGAAGAGGGUCGAGAAGCGAGAAAAGCACAGCUGCGGCUGGAUUUAGCUGCAGGGCCGGGAGGCCCCAUCCAGAUGCCGGUGGGGUUGGUGCCAUGGAAAGCGGACAAGCUGCCAGGAUUCACGGAGGAGAGAACUUCUAAACAGAGAGCAGCUUCUGUGACUGCUUAGGAAGUCAACAAAGUCUCCAACAACCAUCAACCAUCUUACAGGCUUGUGUAAGGAACAGGAACUCUGCUCAGGCUUCUCCAUAUCCAUUAAUCACAGGGAAAUUUACAGUAUCUUUGGAAUCAGUACAGGGAAAAAAUUUGCAGGAAGAAAAUCUGUCAAGGAAUGUGCAGGGGACAGCAGAAGAAUAUUUUGUUGUGAAAGAAUAAUACCUGGUCUUUGUUUAUAAUGCACAAAUAAAAAUUUUAUUCCUGAAAUCCUAUUUUUUACG